rnacentral:rRNA from 1 species
GAUGAACGCUGGCGGCGUGCCUAAUACAUGCAAGUCGAGCGAACAGACGAGGCGCUUGCUCCUCUGACGUUAGCGGCGGACGGGUGAGUAACACGUGGAUAACCUACCUAUCAGACUGGGAUCACUUCGGGAAACCGGAGCUAAUACCGGAUAAUCUCUUGAACCGCAUGGUUGAAUAGUGAAAUACGGUGUUGCUGUCACUUAUAGAUGGAUCUGGGCCGCAUUAGCUAGUUGGUAAGGUAACGGCUUACCAAGGCAACGAUGCGUAGCCGACCUGAGAGGGUGAUCGGCCACACUGGAACUGAGACACGGUCCAGACGCCUACGGGAGGCAGCAGUAGGGAAUCUUCCGCAAUGGGCGAAAGCCUGACGGAGCAACGCCGCGUGAGUGAUGAAGGUCUUCGGAUCGUAAAACUCGGUUAUUAGGGAAGAACAAAUGUGUAAGUAACUAUGCACGUCUUGACGGUACCUAAUCAGAAAGCAACGGCUAACUACGUG